GGACUACAAGGGUUUCUAAUCCUGUUUGCUCCCCACGCUUUCGCACCUCAGCGUCAGUACCGGACCAGUGAGCCGCCUUCGCCACUGGUGUUCUUGCGAAUAUCUACGAAUUUCACCUCUACACUCGCAGUUCCACUCACCUCUUCCGGACUCGAGCCUCCCAGUAUCAAAGGCAGUUCUGGAGUUGAGCUCCAGGAUUUCACCCCUGACUUAAGAAGCCGCCUACGUGCGCUUUACGCCCAGUGAUUCCGAGCAACGCUAGCCCCCUUCGUAUUACCGCGGCGGCUGGCAC
rnacentral:rRNA from 1 species